rnacentral:lncRNA from 1 species
CAAUCUGUCCAUGUCUGUCACAUUAUGUCUAUGUUUUCAUUUUGUUGCUUGAUUGUUGCUCUGUGUUUCACGUUACAACAAAAACUGAUAGACUUUGGAGCCCUGCACCUGUAGCUAGGAAUAUAUCACAGCUGGAGAGGCCUUGCCAGGAGCUGAUUGCAGCUUCCAUGGAUGCUGAAGAAGUAUGGUAGCUGCCAGAGUGAUUGGUGAGAUGUGCUGAUGCUGGGACAAAAAAAAAAUGAUGCUGACUGUGAGCUUGCUGAGUAACCUGACAAUGGGGACAGGGAAGCUGUAUUGGUCCCGUGUUUCUGACCUACCACUGGUACAUCCAGCAGUGUGGUCCAAACUGGAGAUUCUCCUGCUUGGAGCUCCCUGGACAGAGAGCUUAUAAUAAGAUCAUGACUUUCAAUGCAUUUGGUGAUGGGAUUUCUGUUUGCUUUAUAAAGAACAGUACAAAUGAUGGGUGUGUUUCUGUGUUUCCUUAAAAUUAGAAUCUUAUUAA